rnacentral:lncRNA from 1 species
GAAAGAUUAAACUCGACAAUUUUGGGUAAUUUUCCCAAUCCGGUUAGCGUGGCAGGGCCCACCCAACGACUAUUGCUUAAGGAGUCUCGAAAACAUACAAAUCAAGAUCCCCACCAAAGCCAUUUACCUUCCUCUUACACACAGAAUUCCGAUAUACAUCCCGAUUCCGUCCCACCCAACAAUUAUUGCUUAAGGAGUCUCGAAAACAUACAAAUCAAGAUCCCCACCAAAGCCAUUUACCUUCCUCUUACACACAGAAUUCCGAUAUACAUCCCGAUUCCGGUUGCGAUUUCAAAAUCCCAACCAAAAACCGAUUCUUCAUCGCUGUUGAACUGAAUCCAUCCAAUUGCGAUAUAUUAUAUUCUAUCGUAAUAUUUGGUCAGUACUCUACAAUUCCCAUUUUUCUGGGAACUUCGAUAUCUUUAUAAUUUAUAAUUUCGUGUUAAUGUUACGGAUGGGUCUUUUUUUUUUUUUUUUUUUUUAAAUUAUAGGAAUGCAGAGCCAGAUAGUGUGCAACGGGUGUAGAAGCCUUCUUAUGUACCCGAGUGGAGCAACCAAUGUCUGCUGCGCCGUGUGUAAUACCAUCACUUCUGUGCCUCCUCCAGGUAAAAUUGAAUUCGGAAUUUCAGCGAAGCUGUCAUUUCUUUGAGUGUUCAUCGAAAAAUGUUGAAUUCUUUUCUUUUUAAUUGAAUAUCAUAUAAUUUGUUUGCAUUUAAUAG